rnacentral:rRNA from 1 species
GUGGGGAAUAUUGGGCAAUGGGGGCAACCCUGACCCAGCAACGCCGCGUGAGGGAAGAAGGUUUUCGGAUUGUAAACCUCUGUCCUAUGGGAAGAAGGAAGUGACGGUACCAUAGGAGGAAGCCCCGGCUAACUACGUGCCAGCAGCCGCGGUAAUACGUAGGGGGCGAGCGUUGUCCGGAAUUACUGGGCGUAAAGGGUGCGCAGGUGGCCUGACAAGUCAGAUGUGAAAUACCGAUGCUUAACGUCGGGGCUGCAUUUGAAACUAUGAGGCUGGAGUGCAGGAGAGGGAAGCGGAAUUCCUAGUGUAGCGGUGAAAUGCAUAGAUAUUAGGAGGAACACCAGUGGCGAAGGCGGCUUUCUGGACUGUAACUGACACUGAGGCACGAAAGCGUGGGGAGCAAACAGGAUUAGAUACCCGGGUAGUCC